rnacentral:rRNA from 1 species
UGGGGAAUAUUGGACAAUGGGCGAAAGCCUGAUCCAGCCAUGCCGCGUGUGUGAAGAAGGUCUUCGGAUUGUAAAGCACUUUAAGUUGGGAGGAAGGGCAGUGCGAAUACCUUGCUGUUUUGACGUUACCGACAGAAUAAGCACCGGCUAACUCUGUGCCAGCAGCCGCGGUAAUACAGAGGGUGCAAGCGUUAAUCGGAAUUACUGGGCGUAAAGCGCGCGUAGGUGGUUCGUUAAGUUGAAUGUGAAAGCCCCGGGCUCAACCUGGGAACUGCAUCCAAAACUGGCGAGCUAGAGUAGGGCAGAGGGUGGUGGAAUUUCCUGUGUAGCGGUGAAAUGCGUAGAUAUAGGAAGGAACACCAGUGGCGAAGGCGACCACCUGGGCUCAUACUGACACUGAGGUGCGAAAGCGUGGGGAGCAAACAGG